AUGAGCGUACCGACCAACUUCUAUCCACCGACCGUGAUUCAGUCGAUCCCUCCAUGCAACCGAUUAAGCCGCAAAAACACACCCAUCGCGACUCCCUCCGUCGAUCACCCAGCAUCAUCGCAAAAACACCAGUUCGUCGAAGAUCUCGCCGCUGAUCUAUACUUCGACCAUCAUCGUGCCAGGUUCAAUCCCUUUUUCUUUGUGAUUUUAGGAACUGGUAAAUCUUUGUGUGUUGGUGCUUUCGAUUUUGUGUACAGAGUUUUCGGGUUUCAUCGUAUCUGGAUGGUGUGGUGA